CCCUUAGAUGUUCUGGGCCGCACGCGCGCUACACUGACGGAGGCAGCGAGCGUGUCCUUCGCCGGCAGGUGCGGGCAAUCUUGCGAGUCUCCGUCGUGCUGGGGAUAGAUGGUUGCAAUUGUCGAUCUUGAACGAGGAAUUCCUAGUAAGCGCGGGUCAUCAGCUCGCGCUGAUUAUGUCCCUGCCCUUUGUACACACCGCCCGUCGCUACUACAGAGUGCCCGUGUCCAAGAAACGGUCGGACCUGUGCGGCCUCUCCGGGCGACCGGAGGGCCGUUACGGGGAAGACCCUUUAUUUGACGCGGGUCGAUGAAGUAAAAGUCGUAACA
rnacentral:rRNA from 1 species